rnacentral:rRNA from 1 species
UACGGGGGGGGCAAGCGUUGUUCGGAAUUACUGGGUGUAAAGGGCUCGUAGGCGGCCAACUAAGUCGGAUGUGAAAUCCCCAGGCUCAACCUGGGAACUGCAUCCGAUACUGGAUGGCUUGAAUUCGGGAGAGGGAUGCAGAAUUCCAGGUGUAGCGGUGAAAUGCGUAGAUAUCUGGAGGAAUACCGGUGGCGAAGGCGGCAUCCUGGACCGACAUUGACGCUGAUGAGCGAAAGCUAGGGGAGCAAACGGG